rnacentral:rRNA from 1 species
GACGAACGCUGGCGGCGUGCCUAAUACAUGCAAGUUGAGCGAUGAAGCUUGGUGCUUGCCCCAAUUUGAAGAGCAGCGAACGGGUGAGUAACGCGUGGGGAAUCUGCCUUUGAGCGGGGGACAACAUUUGGAAACGAAUGCUAAUACCGCAUAAUAACUUUAAACAUAAGUUUUAAGUUUGAAAGAUGCAAUUGCAUCACUCAAAGAUGAUCCCGCGUUGUAUUAGCUAGUUGGUGAGGUAAAGGCUCACCAAGGCGAUGAUACAUAGCCGACCUGAGAGGGUGAUCGGCCACAUUGGGACUGAGACACGGCCCAAACUCCUACGGGAGGCAGCAGUAGGGAAUCUUCGGCAAUGGACGAAAGUCUGACCGAGCAACGCCGCGUGAGUGAAGAAGGUUUUCGGAUCGUAAAACUCUGUUGGUAGAGAAGAACGUUGGUGAGAGUGGAAAGCUCAUCAAGUGACGGUAACUACCCAGAAAGGGACGGCUAACUACGUG